GAUGAACGCUGGCGGCGUGCCUAAUACAUGCAAGUCGAGCGAACGGACGAGAAGCUUGCCUCUCUGAUGUUAGCGGCGGACGGGUGAGUAACACGUGGAUAACCUACCUAUAAGACUGGGAUAACUUCGGGAAACCGGAGCUAAUACCGGAUAAUAUUUUGAACCGCAUGGUUCAAGAGUGAAAGACGGUCUUGCUGUCACUUAUAGAUGGAUCCGCGCUGCAUUAGCUAGUUGGUAAGGUAACGGCUUACCAAGGCAACGAUGCAUAGCCGACCUGAGAGGGUGAUCGGCCACACUGGAACUGAGACACGGUCCAGACUCCUACGGGAGGCAGCAGUAGGGAAUCUUCCGCAAUGGGCGAAAGCCUGACGGAGCAACGCCGCGUGAGUGAUGAAGGUCUUCGGAUCGUAAAACUCUGUUAUUAGGGAAGAACAUAUGUGUAAGUAACUGUGCACAUCUUGACGGUACCUAAUCAGAAAGCCACGGCUAACUACGUG
rnacentral:rRNA from 1 species